UUUUUUCUUGAAAAGUGUGUGAAUACUUUGUCUAAGAGAAGUAUUUUCUGAAUUUAAGUAAGAAAAGGUUAUUUAUUAUUCAAGUUUAGUGACUAUGGACGCUGAAGUCGAAGGCAGCGUUGAAAAUAAUGUACAAUCUGGCGACGAAGCGGCUUCACCAUCUAAAGAUGGUGCGCCUGGGCCUUCUCAGGAAAACAAUUCAACCCCUAAUAUAAAUGGAAAUGCGGGACAAGCAACGCCAGAUACAAGCGAAGGCGAAUCUCAAUGGACUCCAAACAAUCAAAGUGCUGUUGCUGCUAAACCUUUUAGUAUGCCGCCAUUUGGUGGACCACCCGGAUCUUUCCGUGGUGGACGAGGAGGUAUUCAUAUAAUGCCUUUUGGUCGCGGUGGUGCUCGAGGGGGUGGCGGCAAUUUUGGCGGACGCGGGCCGGGAAACUUUGAUCCGAAUUGGCAGGGACAAAAUCAAAAUGGCCCACCAAAUAUGACAAACGGGCCACCACUCGAACUGUGGGUGGAGACUAAGACAGAUGAUGGCAAAUCUUAUUUUUAUCACGCCAUGACACGUGAAACAACAUGGACUAGACCAGAAGGUCAAAAUAUUAAAGUUAUGACUCAAGCAGAAAUUGAGGAAGUGAAUAAAAAACAGCAACCACCUCAGCAGCAAACUCAACAGAAUAACGCACAGCUUGCGGAUGCAAAUGUUAAAGGGCCAGAGCCGGGUGGUCACGCUCAAGGUGGCAUGAUAGAUGCGCAAAAGGAGUUACCCCCCAUGUCGGUUGCUCCACCCAUGAAAGCACCAGAUACAUUGACGCAACAUCCACCACCAAAUAUGAUGUCACAACCACCACCCACACAACAGACCUUGACGCAGCCACCACCAAAUGUAGUACCAAGCGGUGCGCCACCAAUGACACAACAGCCUCCACCUGCAAUGCACCAACAGCCACCUCCAUUCUUUCCACCUGGUAUGCAUCCACCGAAUUUCUCGCAAACUCCAUUUGGAAUGCCUCCUCCUGGUUAUGGUGGUUUUCCUGGUGGACCAGCACCUUGGGGUAUGCCCUGGAAUCAGCACAUGCAUCCACCACACGGUCCGCCGGUGCAAGACAAACCGGCAAAAAAUUUAAUUAUAAAACCUGGUGUAAUUGAUCCUGCUGUAAUUGCACGCGCUGCUGAAUGGUCCGAACAUCGUGCACCUGACGGACGUCCCUAUUACUAUCAUGCCGGUCGCGGCGAGAGCGUUUGGGAGAAACCACAAGCGUUACGCGACAUGGAAGCAGCACGAAUGGCUGCUCAUUCGGGGACAACACCGCAACAGGCAGUGGCGCCCCAAGUCGCACCCACCAUGCCACCACACAUGAUGCCCAAUCCUGCACUUAUGCACAUGACGCCGGCAGCCGGCGGUUAUGAACAGGCUAUGGCAUACAAUGCUGCUGCUGCCGCAGCCGCAGCCGCCGCCGCUGCAGCAGCUGCUGCCAAUCUUAAACCCAUCGAACAAACCAAAGCGGCGCAAGCUGCGGCACUGGAAAAAGAAUCCAGGAAGGUGGCAGAGGAAAAACGAAAGAAAGAGGAGGAGCAACAAAAGAAAGUUACGGCAACAGCAGCAAAACCAGUAGAUAAAUCACGUCCUAUUUCAAGUACUCCCAUUGCUGGUACACCAUGGUGUGUCGUUUGGACAGGUGACGCGAGGGUUUUUUUCUAUAAUCCUUCCACACGCACAUCUGUUUGGGAAAGACCCGACGAUUUGAUAGACCGUGCCGACGUAGACAAAGCAGUCAACAAUCCGCCGGAGCAGUUAAAGGCUGCUGGUAGUGUCGCUGCGGAGAAACAGGUCGAAAAGAUUGAGACAGAGAAGAAAAAAGAGGUUGAAAUUCCCGAGGAAGAGGAAGAAGAAGAGCAAGAAGAUGAUGAAGUUAUCAAAAUACGCACUGAAUCUGAAUCCAGUGUGGAAGAAGUACCAACGAAGAAGUCCCGAUUAUCCGCAAAGCAAACCAGGAAGGCGGAUGCCAACGAAGCAGCCGUAGAAGCCGAGGUACGCGCGGCUAAGGAGCGUGCUGUAGUGCCAUUGGAGACACGUGUCAAACAGUUCAAAGAAAUGUUGCGUGAAAAAGAUGUAUCAGCAUUCAGCACUUGGGAGAAGGAGCUACACAAAAUUGUUUUCGAUCCACGUUACUUGUUGCUAACCUCCAAAGAGCGCAAACAGGUGUUUGAAAAGUACGUUAAAGAUCGCGCCGAAGAGGAACGCAAGGAGAAGCGCAAUAAGAUGCGUCAAAAGCGCGAAGAUUUUCGCAAGCUUAUGGAAGAUGCAAAGCUGCAUGGAAAGUCCUCAUUCAGUGAGUUUUGUCAGCGUUAUGGCAAAGAUGACCGCUAUAAAGCUAUCGAAAAGGUGCGCGAACGUGAGAGCCUCUUUAACGAAUAUAUUGUAGAUGUGCGUCGUCAAGAAAAAGAGGAGAAAAUACAAAAAAAGGAACAGGUAUGUGCGUGUUCCCUUAAAUGCAUGCGGGCCGAGAAUGCGUUUGUUAGCUUAGUUAAUUUGGGUUUUGGGCCGCAGCAAACGUACUUCUUAUUUAAAUAUUUAGUAAUUCGUAUUUUUAAAUGAUUAAUUGAAUUUUUCAUACGUCUCUAUUUGUAUAUACACUUAUUAUAUUGUUAAUGCUUCACAGCAAAGUUUAUACUUUUUAUUUUUUAUAAAAAUUUUCUUCACUCUAAUCUUGAAAUCUCAAAACAAAUCAAACAAAAAAAUCUACCACUACUACUUCAACGCUUAUAAAUAUCGGCUAAACUACGCACGAACAACAAAUUGUCAACCAACUACAAAAAAACAUAGUCAAUUGCAACCAAUCAUGUGAUUAUAGGUCAGCUGCUUGAAGUGUGUUUAAAGCGAAUAUUAUUUUGCUUUGCCGUGUAAAAGUUGGUUGACGUAGAAAAAAAGCAAAAUUGCUAAAUAUCGUUUUUAGGCAGCAGUAUAAACGUAAGGAAAACGCAGCAAAUAAUAUGUAGCAGCGUAACGUGUGACUGAUUGAUAAUUCAUGGUCAUCCAGCUGCCAACGACCGCAUCAAAUUGCAUUGAUCCGCCAGGCAACCAUGUCCAUCCUACUACUACCACCCAUCAACCCAGUGACUUGCCUGUUCGUUAGUACCUUCACGCCUGCUCGGCACGUUUUCCCCAAAUUGUUUGUGUCUAUCUAGCUCGAGCUCGUGAUCAACGUUGACUUCAUUAAACAAACAGCAAACAAAUGCAAAUUAUUGUAUAUCAACGAUAAAACUUGGUGAUUUACCCUUCUGCCACCAGGAACGUCGGCACGUCACAUGUUACAUAUUGAAGCUAUUUGGAUGCGCACAGACAAAUGGUGUAUAUUGAUGGAGGGAAAACGCAAUGGACACAUAGAAGACGUAACGGCAUUAGGCAGACGACAAGACAUGCCAAACUCCCAACAGCUGGCAGUUUAGUUAAUGUUGGCGCUCGAGUCUCCAGUCUCUGGUCUCUGAGUGUGGCAGAGCUUGAACUAGAGCGGGAGUGGGAGUUGAGCGAGAAGAGACAGAAACAGUAUGAAUAAAAACUCAAUCUAAACUUCAUACAUUUAGAAUUUUUGUUACAGCCGCAAGUGCAAUAAGCAUUUCAAAAUUCGAUAUUUCACAUUCGUGCCAGAAGUGCAUAUUUUGAAUAUAUAUAUAUAAUAGAUUUUUUUGCUAGUAAAUCAUAAUCUAUGGCACGUGACACUUAUUACCAUUUCAAAAAUGUCAAACGAAUGUGAAAUAUUGACUUUUACUGACGGGCUUUACUUGUAAGUUCAUAAAGUAAAGCAUUCAAUACAUUAUCUAUAUGUAUUCUUAUUAUAUAACACACGUACAUGUCAUUGUUGUCCGUCCGUCCGUCCGUCGACAAAGUGCCCAUACACAUUGCUUCUCUAAUUUAUGACAAUAAUAUUUUUAAUUUUCAGCUCUACACUGUUGGAUUCUCAUAAUUAAGUCAUCAAUAAAUUUCUGUUUCAGCAUUCGACGCCAUUUAAUUAUACUACUAAUCUUGAAACUUCUCUUGCAGCAUAAUUAAUUAUAAUUAUUAUUUAAGUUAUGAUUGUCGACUAUUAAGUUAGUUAGUAAGCGUCAUCUAUAAGCCCCUGUUAUGUGCCUAUAAAAUUAUGGUGUAAGCUAAAACGAAAGCCAAUGCCUGAAAUAGUCUAAUUCUCCAUAUUUGUUUUCUCUCUUUGUAUCUUCCUGACUGCACUUGCUACAUUUAUCCAAAUGCACAUCCCAAAACACAAACUACGUACCUCUAACAAAUUUUAGAUACGCAAAGAUUUCAUAGAAAU